AUUGAACGCUGGCGGAAUGCUUUACACAUGCAAGUCGAGCGGCAGCGCGGGGGCAACCCUGGCGGCGAGCGGCGAACGGGUGAGUAACAUAUCGGAACGUACCCCGUCGUGGGGGAUAACACAGCGAAAGCUGUGCUAAUACCGCAUACGACCUGAGGGGUGAAAGCGGGGGAUCGCAGGACCUCGCGCGAUGGGAGCGGCCGAUAUCGGAUUAGCUUGUUGGUGAGGUAAAGGCUCACCAAGGCGACGAUCCGUAGCUGGUCUGAGAGGACGACCAGCCACACUGGAACUGAGACACGGUCCAGACUCCUACGGGAGGCAGCAGUGGGGAAUUUUGGACAAUGGGGGGCAACCCUGAUCCAGCCAUUCCGCGUGAGUGAAGAAGGCC
rnacentral:rRNA from 1 species